AGGACGAACGCUGGCGGCGUGCUUAACACAUGCAAGUCGAACGGAAAGGCCCUGCUUUUGUGGGGUGCUCGAGUGGCGAACGGGUGAGUAACACGUGAGUAACCUGCCCUUGACUUUGGGAUAACUUCAGGAAACUGGGGCUAAUACCGGAUAGGAGCUCCUGCUGCAUGGUGGGGGUUGGAAAGUUUCGGCGGUUGGGGAUGGACUCGCGGCUUAUCAGCUUGUUGGUGGGGUAGUGGCUUACCAAGGCUUUGACGGGUAGCCGGCCUGAGAGGGUGACCGGCCACAUUGGGACUGAGAUACGGCCCAGACUCCUACGGGAGGCAGCAGUGGGGAAUAUUGCACAAUGGGCGGAAGCCUGAUGCAGCAACGCCGCGUGCGGGAUGACGGCCUCGGUUGUAAACCGCUUUCGCCUGUGACGAAGCGUGAGUGACGGUAAUGGGUAAAGAAGCACCGGCUAACUACGUGCCAGCAGCCGC
rnacentral:rRNA from 1 species